GCAUCGGUGGGGUAUUGGAAGCCCACAACUUUCCUUUCAGAUUAAACAUUGGGUUUCAAGGGUUGAGAACGAGGUUCGACUCCUCGUCGGUGCA